rnacentral:tRNA from 12 species
UAGCUUUGAAGCGAGCGGUGUGGGUUCGAAUCCCACUGGG